CAAGUCAGUAUGGACCACGUACGCUGGGCUACACAUGUGUUCCAGCGGUGAAGGCAAAAAAGAUGCGUCAGCGAUGACGCCAAUCUAAACCUCACCAUGUUCGGAUUAGUGGCUGCAACUUGCCACUAUGAAGGCGAAAUCGCCAGUAAUCGCAAAUCAGCACGUUGCGGUGAACCUUAAAUUGGGCUGUGCACACACUGCCCAUCAUGAUAGGGGA
rnacentral:rRNA from 1 species